GCAGCAUCACCCAGAGUCCAGUAUCAUUAAGUCAGCAUUCACACACACUGCUCAUCAAGGCUCAUAACUACAUAUUCAAUAUGAAUAGGUCACAAGUGAGGCUAAUAGUGUCCCUCUUGGUGGUGUGUGCCGUCCUUCUACAUCCUACCACGGCUGCCUUGGGACCUGGCUUUGUUGGUUACACUGUCUCACCGACUCUUAACUUAUGUCAUCUUUUGAGGAUCGACUGCGUUCGGUACCCCGUACACGGAUGUUGCCGCAUCAGGCCAUGGAGAGGCUAGUGUGUCUUCGCCAGCGCCUUCGCCCACGCUUUCUCCAGAUAAUACACGACAACUUCGACGUGUUGUACAAGCCAUUUCAUGCUCUCUCUUCUAUGAUGCGGGGCACUGACCUACAUAAUAUUCUCUUCACCAGCUAUUAAGGUUGACAUUAAAAUUCCUUCCCUUAUUUCUUUUAAAUAAUUAUUACUUUUAUUAUUAUCAUUAGUACUGUAUUCAUAUGAAUCAUACAGCACCUGGAGAAUGAGAGAGGUAAUCAUGGUUUAUUCAAGAAAGGGAAAAGUAGCUGCAAUUCCUUGAAUCAGGAACCCUUCUCCAGCCCAUUUAGGCAUUUCCCUUGAUGGGUCUCCUGACCAAAUGUUUCAUCCCUGACACUAACUCAUCUCGGUGCGUCUUCCUCCUGUGACAACUGAAAUAUUCAACAACGUUUGUUAAUAUGAAUGUUGUAUAGAGUUGAAGUGUGUUUCCCAAUGUGUACUUUUCAUUGUUGUAUCCCAAUUUUCAUGAUUACAUAAAGCAAUAUUACCGAU